CGAGCGGUAGAGAGAAGCUUGCUUCUCUUGAGAGCGGCGGACGGGUGAGUAAUGCCUAGGAAUCUGCCUGGUAGUGGGGGAUAACGUCCGGAAACGGACGCUAAUACCGCAUACGUCCUACGGGAGAAAGCAGGGGACCUUCGGGCCUUGCGCUAUCAGAUGAGCCUAGGUCGGAUUAGCUAGUUGGUGAGGUAAUGGCUCACCAAGGCGACGAUCCGUAACUGGUCUGAGAGGAUGAUCAGUCACACUGGAACUGAGACACGGUCCAGACUCCUACGGGAGGCAGCAGUGGGGAAUAUUGGACAAUGGGCGAAAGCCUGAUCCAGCCAUGCCGCGUGUGUGAAGAAGGUCUUCGGAUUGUAAAGCACUUUAAGUUGGGAGGAAGGGUACUUACCUAAUACGUGAGUAUUUUGACGUUACCGACAGAAUAAGCACCGGCUAACUCUGUGCCAGCAGCCGCGGUAAUACAGAGGGUGCAAGCGUUAAUCGGAAUUACUGGGCGUAAAGCGCGCGUAGGUGGUUCGUUAAGUUGGAUGUGAAAUCCCCGGGCUCAACCUGGGAACUGCAUCCAAAACUGGCGAGCUAGAGUAUGGUAGAGGGUGGUGGAAUUUCCUGUGUAGCGGUGAAAUGCGUAGAUAUAGGAAGGAACACCAGUGGCGAAGGCGACCACCUGGACUGAUACUGACACUGAGGUGCGAAAGCGUGGGGAGCAAACAGGAUUAGAUACCCUGGUAGUCCACGCCGUAAACGAUGUCAACUAGCCGUUGGGAGCCUUGAGCUCUUA
rnacentral:rRNA from 1 species